rnacentral:rRNA from 1 species
UACGUAGGGACCAAGCGUUGUUCGGAUUUACUGGGCGUAAAGGGCGCGUAGGCGGCGCGGUAAGUCACUUGUGAAAUCUCUGAGCUUAACUCAGAACGGCCAAGUGAUACUGCAGUGCUAGAGUGUGGAAGGGGCAAUCGGAAUUCCUGGUGUAGCGGUGAAAUGCGCAGAUAUCAGGAGGAACACCGGUGGCGAAGGCGGGUCUCUGGGCCGAUACUGACGCUGAGGAGCGAAAGCGUGGGGAGCGAACAGG